UACGGAGGAUGCAAGCGUUAUCCGGAAUGAUUGGGCGUAAAGCGUCCGCAGGUGGCAAUGUAAGUCUGCUGUCAAAGCGUCUGGCUCAACCAGAUAAAGGCAGUGGAAACUACAUAGCUAGAGUAAGGUAGGGGUAGAGGGAAUUCCUGGUGUAGCGGUGAAAUGCGUAGAGAUCAGGAAGAACACCGGUGGCGAAAGCGCUCUGCUAGGCCGCAACUGACACUGAGGGACGAAAGCUAGGGGAGCGAACGGG
rnacentral:rRNA from 1 species